GGUUAAGCGACUAAGCGUACACGGUGGAUGCCCUGGCAGUCAGAGGCGAUGAAGGGCGUGCUAAUCUGCGAUAAGCGCCGGUAAGGUGAUAUGAACCGUUAUAACCGGCGAUACCCGAAUGGGGAAACCCAGUGUGAUUCGUCACACUAUCAUUAACUGAAUCCAUAGGUUAAUGAGGCGAACCGGGGGAACUGAAACAUCUAAGUACCCC
rnacentral:rRNA from 4 species